rnacentral:rRNA from 1 species
AUUGAACGCUGGCGGCAGGCCUAACACAUGCAAGUCGAACGGUAACAGGAAUAAGCUUGCUUCUUUGCUGACUAGUUUCUUACGGUUGAUUCAUGUCUUGGAAACUUCCUUCUUUCUUUUUAUCACUACUGGACCCGGUCGCUCAUACCGCAUCCUGUCGCAAGACCAAAGCGGGGGACCUUCGGGCCUCUUGCCCUCGGAUGUGCCCAGCUGGGAUUCGCUAGUAGGUGGGGUAACGGCUCACCUAGGCGACGAUCCCUAGCUGGUCUGAGAGGAUGACCAGACACACUGGAACUGAGACACGGUCCAGAAUCCUACGGGAGGCAGCAGUGGGGAAUAUUGCACAAUGGGCGCAAGCCUGAUGCAGCUAUGCCGCGUGUAUGAAGAAGGACUUCGGGUUGUAAAGUACUUUCAGCGGGGAGGAAGGGAGUAAAGUUAAUACCUUUGCUCAUUGACGUUACCCGCAGAAGAAGCACCGGCUAACUCCGUG